GUGGGCGUAGCUCAGUUGGUUAGAGCGUCGGUUUGUGGUACCGAAGGUCGGGGGUUCGAGACCCCUCGUCCACCCCA
rnacentral:tRNA from 1 species